rnacentral:rRNA from 1 species
UACGUAGGGGGCGAGCGUUGUCCGGAGUUACGUGGCGUAAAGCGCACGCAGGCGGUCUGCUAAGUUUGGAGUGACAGUUGGUGGCUUAACUGCCAAAGUGCUUCGAAAACUGACAGACUUGAGGGCUUCAGAGGGACACGGAAUUCCGGGUGGAGUGGUGAAAUGCGUAGAGAUCCGGAGGAACACCAAAGGCGAAGGCAGUGUCCUGGGGAGUACCUGACGCUCAGGUGCGAAAGCCAGGGGAGCGAA